UACGUAGGUGGCAAGCGUUUGUCCGGAAUUAUUGGGCGUAAAGCGCGCGCAGGCGGCCUCUUAAGUCUGAUGUGAAAGCCCCCCGGCUCAACCGGGGAGGGCCAUUGGAAACUGGGAGGCUUGAGUAUAGGAGAGAAGAGUGGAAUUCCACGUGUAGCGGUGAAAUGCGUAGAGAUGUGGAGGAACACCAGUGGCGAAGGCGACUCUUUGGCCUAUAACUGACGCUGAGGCGCGAAAAGCGUGGGGAGCAAACAGG
rnacentral:rRNA from 1 species